rnacentral:miRNA from 1 species
UGAACUUUACCACGAAAAGG